rnacentral:rRNA from 1 species
AUACGUAGGUGGCAAGUGUUGUCCGGAAUUAUUGGGCGUAAAGCGCAUGUAGGCGGUUUGGUAAGUCGGUCGUGAAAAUGCGGUGCUUAACGCCGUAUGGCGAUUGAAACUGCUGAAAUUGGGUGCAGGAGGGGAAAGGGGAACUCCCAGUGUAGGGGGGAAAUGCGUAGAUAUUGGGAAGAACACCGGUUGCGAAGGCGCCUUUCUGGACUGUGUCUGACGCUCAGAUGCGAAAGCCAGGGUAGCGAACGGGAUUAGAUACCCCGGUAGUCCUGGCCGUAAACGAUGGGUACUAGGUGUGGGAGGUAUCGACUCCUUCCGUGCCGGAGUUAACGCAAUAAGUACCCCGCCUGGGGAGUACGGCCGCAAGGCUUAAACUCAAAGGAAUUGACGGGG